AUUUGGUGCUUGCACCAGAUGAAACUAGAUACAAGCGAGCGGCGGACGGGUGAGUAACACGUGGGUAACCUGCCCAAGAGACUGGGAUAACACCUGGAAACAGAUGCUAAUACCGGAUAACAACACUAGACGCAUGUCUAGAGUUUAAAAGAUGGUUCUGCUAUCACUCUUGGAUGGACCUGCGGUGCAUUAGCUAGUUGGUAAGGUAACGGCUUACCAAGGCAAUGAUGCAUAGCCGAGUUGAGAGACUGAUCGGCCACAUUGGGACUGAGACACGGCCCAAACUCCUACGGGAGGCAGCAGUAGGGAAUCUUCCACAAUGGACGCAAGUCUGAUGGAGCAACGCCGCGUGAGUGAAGAAGGGUUUCGGCUCGUAAAGCUCUGUUGGUAGUGAAGAAAGAUAGAGGUAGUAACUGGCCUUUAUUUGACGGUAAUUACUUAGAAAGUCACGGCUAACUACGUGCCAGCAGCCGCGGUAAUACGUAGGUGGCAAGCGUUGUCCGGAUUUAUUGGGCGUAAAGCGAGUGCAGGCGGUUCAAUAAGUCUGAUGUGAAAGCCUUCGGCUCAACCGGAGAAUUGCAUCAGAAACUGUUGAACUUGAGUGCAGAAGAGGAGAGUGGAACUCCAUGUGUAGCGGUGGAAUGCGUAGAUAUAUGGAAGAACACCAGUGGCGAAGGC
rnacentral:rRNA from 1 species